rnacentral:rRNA from 1 species
UGCCAGCCGCCGCGGUAAUACGUAGGGGGCGAGCGUUGUCCGGAAUUACUGGGCGUAAAGGGCGUGUAGGCGGGGCAGCAAGUUGCGGGUAAAAAACCAGGGCUCAACCCUGGGGGUGCCUGCGAAACUGCUGUUCUUGAGGGCGGGAGAGGAGAGUGGAAUUCCCGGAGUAGCGGUGAAAUGCGUAGAUACCGGGAGGAACACCAGUGGCGAAGGCGGCUCUCUGGACCGACCCUGACGCUGAGGCGCGAAAGCCAGGGGAGCGAACGGGAUUAGAUA